CUACGGGGUGCUCCAGUAAGGAAUAUUGCGCAAUGGAGGCAACUCUGACGCAGCCAUGCCGCGUGCAGGAAGAAGGCCUUAUGGGUCGUAAACUGCUUUUAUUUAGGAAUAAACCCCCGAACGUGUUCGGGGCUGAAGGUACUAAACGAAUAAGCACCGGCUAACUCCGUGCCAGCAGCCGCGGUAAUACGGAGGGUGCAAGCGUUAUCCGGAUUUAUUGGGUUUAAAGGGUGCGCAGGCGGGCUAUUAAGUCAGUGGUGAAAUCCCGGGGCUCAACUCCGGAACUGCCAUUGAUACUGAUAGUCUUGAGUUUGGUUGAAGUGGGCGGAAUGUAGCAUGUAGCGGUGAAAUGCAUAGAUAUGCUACAGAACACCAAUCGCGAAGGCAGCUCACUAAGCCAAAACUGUCGCUCAUGCACGAAAGCGUGGGGAUCAAACAGGAUUAGAUACCCCAGUAGUC
rnacentral:rRNA from 1 species